AUCCUGUAGAAAACCACAGAGCUCCUUCACUCCAGAAUCUUUCAGGUUGUUUCCACUCAGGUCCAGUUCAGUCAGAUGUUGGUUGGACUUCAGAGCUGAGGCCAGAGAAGAACAGCUGAUCUCUGACAACC